rnacentral:ncRNA from 1 species
ACUUCUUUGCCGCCGGGUAAAGAGUUAAGCGUCAGGCUUUCUAUCGUUAGGCCUUUGGAGAUAGAAAGUUCUGACGCUAUUUUUUG